GGCAUAGUGGUUGGGACUUAGGGGUGCUUAGGUUCCAGACCGCGCCCAGGCCAUAACGCCUGCAACUAGAAUAGCAUGAGGUGAGCCAAUGGUGCUAAAGUGCAGGUCUAGGCACCUAAGCGCACGCCUUGCUGGGCUUAGUACUAGUUGGAUAUAUUUAUAGUGAUGGAAAUAUAUUUAUUUAUUUCGUUUUAUGAUUUUGUAAUUUGAUUUGCAAAGUCAAAUGGAACUUGUCUAUGACUUAAUGUUGAAUGUUGAUAAAACAACUCUUAAAAAGGAGAAUAGUAUCAGAACAUGAUUUACUGCCCUUAUCCAAAAUUUAAUCUGCUCUCUCUCUCUCUCGUCCAAGUCAACCUGACUUCUUGAUGUGGC
rnacentral:misc_RNA from 1 species